AUUGAACGCUGGCGGCAGGCCUAACACAUGCAAGUCGAGCGCGAGAGGCCUUCGGGCUGAGUAGAGCGGCGGACGGGUGAGUAACGCGUAGGAAUCUACCUGGUAGUGGGGGACAACUUGGGGAAACUCAAGCUAAUACCGCAUACGCCCUAUGGGGGAAAGUGGGGCCUUCGGGCCUCACGCUAUCAGAUGAGCCUGCGUAGGAUUAGCUAGUUGGUGAGGUAAAGGCUCACCAAGGCGACGAUCCUUAGCUGGUCUGAGAGGAUGAUCAGCCACACUGGGACUGAGACACGGCCCAGACUCCUACGGGAGGCAGCAGUGGGGAAUAUUGCGCAAUGGGGGGCAACCCUGACGCAGCCAUGCCGCGUGUGUGAAG
rnacentral:rRNA from 1 species